rnacentral:rRNA from 1 species
UACGUAGGGAGCGAGCGUUGUCCGGAAUUACUGGGUGUAAAGGGAGCGUAGGCGGGACGGCAAGUCAGAUGUGAAAACUGAGGGCUCAACCUUCAGACUGCAUUUGAAACUGCUGUUCUUGAGUGAAGUAGAGGUAAGCGGAAUUCCUAGUGUAGCGGUGAAAUGCGUAGAUAUCGAGAGGAACACUCGUGGCGAAGGCGGGUUCCUGGACAUUAACUGACGCUGAGGCACGAAGGCCAGGGGAGCGAAAGGG